GGGGAGGUCAAAUAGGGAAAUCAUUUAGUUCGAGUUUUGUGUGAUACAGGUUGAGGUUCAGAGUACCUUCCCUGUAUAGUUAAAUGACUCCCAGCAUUCCCGGGAUGGGAAAGGCUUCUAAGGACGUUCCUCCAGCCUAUUGCAUGGAUAUACUUUGUGAUGGAAGAUGCAAGGCCAGAGAUCAUAUCUCAGCGUGAACGCAUCCUACAGCCCCUGCCUCUGAAAAUACGCGGGGAGUGGAGGAGAAAGAAGGAUGCAGAUGUGCAGCGCCAGAAGCCAGUGCAUGGAAAUUCUUCCAAUCAUCAGUCAUGAGGUGCUCUUUCUUCGGGGACCUGCUGAGAUGUGAUUCUGUAUGGAUGAGACCAUCUCGGCACUGUACAUGUUGGCAUGACAUGUGCUUUAAAACAAGCUUCAUAAACAGGCUGGAGAGUCCAAUAAAGUCUGCUCCAAGAGUUUAGGAUGGAGCCAGCCAUCAAACAGAAGUCUCCAGUGGAAUGAGCCAGUAUUAAGACUUCGAAAAACAAAGAUCAGCCUGAAGAAGUUCAAAGAGAGGAAGAAAAAGGUACCCAACAGCACACCAUCAUGACUACCAUCAUUACUUCUACUACCAUUAACACCAUUUAAUGACUGUACUAUGAACCAGGCACUGUGAGGGGCAUCGUUUGUGAUAGCACCGUAGGUGACGGAACUUGAUCCCUGUGGGCUCUGCUUUACCAGGGAACCAGGAGAUGUUCAGGUGAGACAACAGUCUCUGCACCAAUAAUGGACCAAAAUCCGUUUGGUGGACUCUAUGAAUGCCUCCAAAAGAAACACAAAGAAUUCUGUAGAGAAAAAUAGAUGGUGUUGAUACCUGCCAGUCCAAGUAAGUCAAUAUUCCAGAUUUCAUGAAUCAGGUGGUGGUAACCACAAGUUCUCUUGUCAUGUGGCUGAUUAUCCAUGGG
rnacentral:lncRNA from 1 species